AACUUUGCGCAGUGGCAGUAUCAUAGCCAGUGAGGUUUAUCCAAGGCCGAUUAUUGCUAAUUGAAACUAAACUCUAAGGGAAUCUAACAUAACCACGUUUCUACACAGAAUGGAUUUCUUAAACUGGA
rnacentral:snRNA from 1 species